GUUUGGCACAUGCCCAGUCCCAGCUACACAAGAGGCUGAAGCAGGUGGAUUGCUUGAACCUAGGAGUUCUAGGCUGUAGUGCCCUAUGCCAGUUGGGUGUCUGCACUAAGUUCAGCAUCAAUAUGGUAGCCUCCCAAGAUGGGGGGACCACCAGGUUGCCUGAGGAGGGGUGAACCAGUCCAGCUCACAAACAGAGCAGGUCAAAGCUCCUGUAUCAGUCACAGGACUGCACCUGUGAAUAACCACUGCAUUCCAGCCUGGGCAACAUAGCAGGAAUA
ensembl:misc_RNA Metazoa_SRP Metazoan signal recognition particle RNA